AAGGUCAGUUGUCUUGAGUAUUAAACUGGUAAAUUAUUUCAAAGGUUAAAUUUAAAGCAGAUGCGAUUCUUAUUCAAGUUGUAUUAGUUUUACGCUACUGGGUGAUGUGGUUGAGUGUCCUUAGCAGUCAAGUUGCAAAAAAAUCUAGUUAAUAUUAUGCACAACUUUCUUGUCAUCCAGAUGGAUUUGUGUGCUUUAAUUUAGUCUUGAUUGUAAUGGACUAUUUACAUUUUUGAUUUUAUUGUGAUCUUUUUACUUUUGAUCUGUUGCAAAACUCUAACCUUAUUCUAUAUGCGGACACAACAUAUGCCCAAUGAAUUGUUUGUAAGACCAUUAGCACAUGCACUUGUAGCUUUUGACACUUGAUUGUGAGAUUGCUUCUCUCUUGCUAGACCGUUUCAGGACAUUUGCCAUGAAGCUUCAUGACAAUGUAUUGUUGUCUUUUUCUUUGUUUGGUGCUUGCUGAUAUUGUUGUUAUUAGUGUUUCUAUUUGUGUGUAGUUCUGCUCUCUCUCUAUUUGGCUGGAGAGUGAAACCUUUCUUAGAGUGAUUGUUUCUCCAGAUGGUUAAUUUUUACUUUUUCUGGCAUUUUAUUCUUUUCUUUGUGGGGCAUGAACCAGAAAAUAUUUUUGUUUUUAUGCAACCUUGGGGAUUAUUGUUGGUGUCUUAUUGUGUUAUCCUAUUUGAUUGACAUUAUAUUCUAAAGGGCAGCACAAAGAAGCCAAAUCAGAACAGCAAGUCAGCCAUUCUUGUGGCACCUAGGCGAGAGGAUCAACUUGCUACUUUAAGUGGAAAAGAAAUAUCAGAAAUUGCAUCUGGUAUGCACUUAGUCUGACUUUUACAUUAAAUGAUAGUAUUUCAACCAAAUGGCCAAUUCUGCACGUGUUGUUUUCGUUUGUCACUUAUUUCUGGAAUGAUUUACCAUAGAAAUUUUACUUCAUUAUUAAGUGCUUUUUUUGGAGUGUUUUAUUUUCAGUGGGAGAAAAGCUGUAUUAUUGGUCACCCUUGAGGUUACAACUUUAUGUGUGUAACAAUGUAAGAAUUGGAAAAGGUUUAAAUUGUUUUAAACCCAUUUCACAUGCCACAGUAUUUAACAAUCCUUCGAACUUUGUCUACUAAUUUUUGUUUCAUUUGUCUAUGUAUUUUAUGCUUAUUUUCAAAUGUCGUGUGGUCAUGUGUUGUGUUCACAUUUGCCAUAUGCAGUCUCUAGUGUUGAAGGUUGUGAUUCAAAAAUUACUUUGACUUCAGAUUAUGGAAAGAAGAAAAUCCUGCUUCUUAAAGGGAAAGAUCGUGAAAUUUCUGAUGUUUCUGUAGGUUUGUCGCAACAGCAUGGAAACUCACCUGUUUCUACUGCCCCUAAACAAAAACAGAGGUUUAAAUCUAGUGAAAGGCUGACAAAGAGCAUCCUUUUAAAUAAUGAAGCACAUGAAACUCAAUCUUCGACUGCCAUAAAGCCUCAGCACAAAUCUCAGAAUUCAAAUUCAGAUGGCAAGUUCAAAGACAGGCAUAGUUUAGGCUAUUCUAGUGAAAAAAAGGAAAAAAUUACAAGAAGAAAUAAGGAUAGACCAGAUCGUGGUUUUCAGAAUCCUUCUUGUCAUUCUGAUGUUCCUCAUGAUAAUAAGGAGCAAUUGACAUAUACUGUGCUGCAAAAUACUGGAUUUCAUUCUGGUUUUAUUAAAGGUAGCGUUCGUUACUCUCCUCUGCUGUAUGAUAUCUUCCUCUAAUGGAUAUAAUGAUGCAAUUGUUUACUAUUCUUGAGUGGGAAAUAUGUAAACUCGCUUUAUACCUAUGAUCUUCUAGUCAUCCAUGGAGAAACAUAAAAUGGAAUGCAUAAUGUGAACUGUACUGUGGAAGCAACAGGCCAGUUAAGUGGAAGCAAUAGCUCUUAUGGUUAGGUUCUGAUCUAAAACCUAAGGGGGUACUGAAUGUGCCUAAAAUUUUUUACUUUCUGCUAAGUAAUUUGGCAGUCCAUGUUCUACAUGCAUGUUAGCUGGUUAAUGUAUUUUUAUUUAGAAGUAAUUUUUAUCAUCAGAUAUGAUUUCAACAUCAUACUUAACAUCAUCUCCACAUUUGUGUUUGGUUAGGUCCUACAUUUUAUUUCUGUAGACAGUGGCCUGGCUCCAUCUGGCCUUGUAACUUAUACCAUGCAUUGCUACACCAUUUAGUGGAAACUCUUUGAAAAUGUUAAAGUGCGUCAUGCUACUACAUUUUUUCUUUUCCCCACCCCUACCCCUCACCCCCACUUUUUUUCAUGGGGAUGAUAAUGGCAUUGCGGAGUCAUCAGUUGCUAGCAGUGUUGGUAAAUUGUUUCUUGACUACUUAGUGUUACUUAUUGCUCAUAUGGUUCUACUAAUUUCAUUUAAACUUUUAUUUAUCCAGGAUCCAACAGACAUUUACGUCACCAUGCAGCACCACAUAGAAUGAAGGGUGAUUGCUUCAUGACCUCUGAGCAGAAAUCUUCAAAAAAAAGAGGUGCUAGUGGCUAUGCUGUCCAUGAGAAGCAAAUGUGGGUUCAGAAAUCAUCCGCUGGUUCUUAGAGUAACUAAAUUGGUAAGCCUAUAGCACUCAUUCAGAAGAUACCUACGCAAUUGUAUUAAAAAAAAUGAACAGGAACUUGGAAAAAUAGUUGAGGAAGUUUAUCAAAUACAUAGAGAGCCUUAAUAAUAUGGAACUAUUCAUUUAACAUGUAAUUGAUAUGGUAUUCAUAUUGCCAAGAAAAACAUUAACAAUUGGGGUGCAAAAGAACCCCUUAUUGUGUCUUUUCUCGUGUGUUAGAAUAUCCUUGAAUUAAUGCAUGUUCAAAAAGUUAAGAAGUAAUAAGAGUUAAGCACACUUGCACAUGCUAUGUUCACUAAUGCAUAGUACAUACUUAAGAAAACAAUGCAAGGGACAAUGCUGUGAAUGUUUAAUCUGAAGCGUACCAGAAAUGAUGGGAUUCAAAAGGUAACCUGAUAGUUGGCAUAGGAAAAGGUACCCUAUUAAUGUAUUUACAUACUUUUAUGUGAUUAUGGGGAAUCCAAGCCCCUUUCCUGUGAGGCAAGGACCUUACUCUAGCUCUAGUAAACACCAGCAGCUGGAGGGGCAGUAUUGCCUAAAGCAGGCAAGGCAGGAAGGAAAGAGGCUAUGGUUACAUGUCCAGCUUUAGGUUAGACCAUCCAUGAAGAGUUUUUGUAUUGAACUGCUAUAAUGAGUGAUAAAAUGUUUAUUGACACUGCAAAAAGAAAAAGAAAUUUUAUGUAUGUGUGCAUAGGUGAUGCUUUGUACCAAGGAGAGUUCCUACUUCCUAGUGAGGAAUAGCAAGUGGGAGGUAACCAAAAUAAGCCAAUGAUGCAACAAAAGUGGUGUGAGGGGUGUUUAUAGUUUCUGUGUGAGAGAAAGAAAUGUCUGCAACCAAUGUAGUGUGAGAGGUGGCAAUUGUGUCAGGGCUGGGUUUCUGAGCCAGGUGUAGGAUUGCCACCUCUAAGUAUAAGAAGACUAGCUCUUGUAAUGUUAGUAUAAUGCUGCAAAAUUCUCUCUUAAAGUUAUAUUAUUUUAUUAAUUAUGAUACAUUAUGUUGCUGUUAUUUGAUUCUAGGCUGUGGAUGUGAAAUUCUGGUUUUCAUAUAGACCUAGUCUGGCGUCCUUGGAAGAAUUGAAACAUUUGUGGGACAUCCAAAAGAUUGAUGCCUUCUUGUAGAUCUAUUGAUCUUCUAGCUUGGAUAAAGCUAUGUCAAUGGUCUUGACAAAUGGAUUGCUAACGAAGGGCCAUAAGCUUCUAGUUGGCAGUUCAGCAAGUCAGUGAUUUCUAUUUUAUUUUUUUUUUGUUCGGCAAAUACGGGAAAAGGAAAGCCAGAAAGCCACUUGUCCUUCCCCACCAGUAAGAUUUCAGCUCUGGUAAAGAGAGCGUCAUGAUCCUAUGGUUGAUUUAUUACUAUGCUUUCUUCAGGCACUUCAGACGUGAUGUUGAUAUUGAACCUAAGCUUCUGCAUCCAAAUAGACUCCGCGACAAUUCUGUUGUUGAAGUGCACGUAUUAGCAUUUGGGUCUAGUUUCUAUCGAUGAUAGUAGCAAUGGUAAAAGUUAAUGCUGACGGACUUUUCUAUUCCAAGGCCCCACUUCGGCAAGGGCCGUAUUGCCAGAUAAUUUCACUUUUCUUCUGUAAUCUGAUUUGUGAUUGAGCGGAGCAGCUAUAGAUUGCCCCUUGUUUUGCCUUAUCGGAUUGAAGUAAGAAAUGGAUUGUUCGUAUGCUAAUCUUGAUGGAUGAAAUCAAAU
rnacentral:misc_RNA from 1 species